GCGGAAGGAUCAUUACCGAGUGUAGGGUUCCUAGCGAGCCCAACCUCCCACCCGUGUUUACUGUACCUUAGUUGCUUCGGCGGGCCCGCCAUUCAUGGCCGCCGGGGGCUCUCAGCCCCGGGCCCGCGCCCGCCGGAGACACCACGAACUCUGUCUGAUCUAGUGAAGUCUGAGUUGAUUGUAUCGCAAUCAGUUAAAACUUUCAACAAUGGAUCUCUUGGUUCCGGCAUCGAUGAAGAACGCAGCGAAAUGCGAUAACUAGUGUGAAUUGCAGAAUUCCGUGAAUCAUCGAGUCUUUGAACGCACAUUGCGCCCCCUGGUAUUCCGGGGGGCAUGCCUGUCCGAGCGUCAUUGCUGCCCAUCAAGCACGGCUUGUGUGUUGGGUCGUCGUCCCCUCUCCGGGGGGGACGGGCCCCAAAGGCAGCGGCGGCACCGCGUCCGAUCCUCGAGCGUAUGGGGCUUUGUCACCCGCUCUGUAGGCCCGGCCGGCGCUUGCCGAACGCAAAUCAAUCUUUUUCCAGGUUGACCUCGGAUCAGGUAGGGAUACCCGCUGAACUUAAGCAUAUCAUAA
rnacentral:rRNA from 1 species